GCCAGUGUAUUGUAGUGGGUUGAGUGUUGGACUAUGACUCUGGAACCAGGGUUCAAAUCCCAGCUUGGACA